rnacentral:rRNA from 1 species
CCUGCUCAAUGAAGAAUAAAUAGCCGCAAUAUACUGUGCUAAGGUAGCAUAAUAACUUGCUUCUUAAUUAGAAGAUAGAAUGAAUGGUUAAACAUUUACUAAUUGUAUCUUAAUAUCUAAAUUAAAUUGUAGUAAGAGUAAAAAUACUCUAAUAACUAAGUGGGACGACAAGACCCUAAUAAACUUUUUAUUUAGUUGGGGAAACAAAAUUAAAAAACUUUAUUACAAUAAUAACACACCUUUAAAUAAAUUUAAGAAUAGUUACUAUAGGGAUAACAGCGUUAUUUUUUUCUAGAGACCUAAUCAAAAAAAAAGUUUACGACCUCGAUGUUGAAUUAAUAUCCUAUACUAACGCACACGUUAUAAUAAGGUAGUCUGUUCGACUAUUUAAAAAUUACAU